UUUUUUUUUUUUUAAAACAAUAUUUGGCUACUCCAUAGACUGACAGGUCUCUUUCGGGGCAGGCUGCUGCCUUUAAUGUGCAUAGUCUUUACGCUUAGAUUUCUUAAUGCUGUGUUUAAACGCACUCUGAAAAUCCCCCCACAUCUUUUUAUCUCAGGCAGUGGUACAUCUUUGGGACAAAGAAAUCUUUGCAUGAAAAAUCGGACUAGUGGUAUUUCUCAAUAAAACCGGGAAAAAAAUCAGAAUAGCAGUGUUUCUCAAUAAAACUGUGGGAAAAAAAAAUCAGAGUAGCAAUUAAAAGGCAUAGAGGUCUCUGGGGGUACGUGUAAAUUGAAUUGGGCAUAGACUGUACGACAAACUUUUCAAAAAACCAAGAACUAAUCAUUUAGUAAGCCAACAGCGUUAUUUUUUGAAGCUGGUCCUUUGAAUGGCUUCCACUGUAUUUUUUUUUUAAUGCUUCAGUGACUAAAAAUGGCAAAAACAUUUUAUUUAUGUAAAAAGAAAUCACUUGUAUGCAAAGUUGCAGCUGCUGCUUAUAGGUAUACAAAUGGAUAAAAGCCUGGGAACAUGGAGUUUUUCUUUUUUUAAUGGAACUCUUGAUUUGCUCUUUAAUGUUGAGAAUCCUUAAUUCAGUGGUAUCUUGGAGCUUGAACUGGAUUGACGGCAAAAAACUGAAAUACUAGGAAGACAUUCGUAUCCUGGUUCUAUCUCUUUGGAUGCAGUUGUGCUCUGGCGAAUGACGACUUUCCUGAUGAGGCAGGAAAUGGAAAUGGUGAUGAUGGCAGUGACAAUAAUAAUUAGUCAAAUUUCUAAUCAAUUGCUGUUUACUAUUCCUUGGUCUGCUUUCCCCAUACUUCACAGCCCUGUCUUAACGAUAAUCAUCUUUUUUCCACUGGAGAAUGUUUAAAAAUAGGCAUAUGACUUGAAAAUCAUUCAGAGAACAUACGGCCCGCUAUUCUGUACUCGAGUUAAUUUGUUUUUGGUGACUCAGAAGAAGAAAGAAAUUCCUUGUGUAUCCUGCAGACAGGACGAUGCUUUAAUAAAGAAAAGCAAACCAUGCCUUAUUUCUCAGAGCACCGUUCAGGUCUAUUUAUUUUUUGUUGGAUGCCAGUCGGGGCCGUGGUGGUGGAGAGUUUAAAGGACAUGAACUGGGCUGGACCAGGAGGGAGUCAUGGUCAGACCUGAUGUCUGUGCUUCGGUCCUAAGGAAGGGGUGGCCUGGGCAGCGGGGUGACCUUGCUUGGAAGAGCUGUUUAUCCUCAGCGCUGACCAGCGGUCUAACAGCAGCUCGUGGCCGGGGGCGACUCUCACCCCUAGGUGACAUUUGGCAAUUCCGGCCCACAUUGUUGGUCAUCCCAGCUGGAGAAGAGGGUGCUCCUGGACUCGGGUGGGUGGAGGCCAGGGAUGUUGCUGACCAUUCUAUAGUAUGUAUGCGGGAUAGCCCCUGUCAUGCGGAAUUCUGGCCCCAGUGUUACUGUGUCGAGGUGGGAAACCCUGCUGAAGUGAGGCUGUUUGGACCUGCUACAGAGGCUCUCACUUAGAAACCUUUCAGACACUUUGGGGGUGUUGGAUGCUUGGUGCAGGGUGUCUGGCCAGUGAGGAAGCAGAAUCACAGAGAAAGUCGACAGAGCCAAACUAGAACUCAGGUCCCUGCAGGAGAGCAGGCCUGAACUUUGAGUUCCCGCACGGUGACAGACCUUGCAGUUUUGCAGCAGACCCCACAGCUGCAAGGGCUUGGCCCCCACGUCUGGUCUUGCUCAUCCCAACCCCCAGGCCCUUCAGCCCUCUGUCACGCCAUCUCUCUUCUGCACUUCACACACCUCUCCCCACAUCUUUAUCUCCAUCCCCGGCCACGUGUGAGUCCCUUCCAUCCCCCAGAGAAACAAACGAGAAACAAGCCAAGCCAGGAGACCUUGUCCUUUUGCCUCCGGGUCCUCCACCCCUGUCUCCGGUGUCCCCAUGUGGAGCCGAACUUCAAGAGUGGCCUCCAUCGCUGUCCCCACGGACCCGCUCCCCUUCACUCCCCACCACUGCAGAGGCGGCUUUCUCUGCCGUCCCCUUAUUUGCUUCUUCGCUGCUGCUCUCCUUUUGCUAGAACAGGAGCUCCUGUGUUCAGGUGCCUUCCCCCCUGCCGCCCCCUCUCCAGCGCCGCAGAGAACAGGGGAGGCGCCCUGGGCUCGCAGGAGCUCGUGAUGGGUGGUGGUUAAUUACAUCUCUGAAGGCAGGAGGCCUCCUCGGAUGCCUGGGUCUCACCUGGCCUGAGCAAAGUGCUAUUUCUAGGAUCAUGGGAAAUUGCAUUUGGAUUUCUCAGGUCCCGGAACAGCCCCGCUUUCUGCCUUUUUCUUUAAACCCCUUGUGCCUCGUGUAUGUCACACUUGGCGUUGCCCCUGCUCUUAGGCCCAAGACAGCCCGGAAACAGUGUCUGCUUUUUCUUCAGGCCUCAGCUUUGCUUCCACUUGGUUUCAGUCUAAGGGAGAUCACCCGUGAACCAGCCUUGGAAAUUCAAGGGUUGGUGUGUUGGCUCCUGUCCCUCCCAAAGGUGCGCGCAAGUCCCAAACCCCGGGACCCACGAGGGCGGCCUUAUUUGGAAAUAGGGUCUUUGUGGAUGUCAGCCCAGGUGACAGGUGUCCUUAGGAGAAGAGGACAUGGGGACAUAAAGACAUGAAGUCAUGACCAUGUGAGGCAGAGGCAGAGACGGCAGUGACGCAUCUGCAGGCCGAGCAGUGUGGAGGGUGGCUGGCAGCCCCCAGGAGCUGGGACGGGGCCUGGGGCAGAUCCCCUGGAGGCUCAGCAGGGGACGUGGCCCUGCUGACACCUUGCUCUCGGCUUUCUGGCAUCCAGACCCAGAGGACGCAUCCCUGUUGUCCUAAACCCCUCAUCAGCCCCCAGAAACCGACAUGCGAGACCAGUAGUCUCUGAGUGUGCUGGUCCCUUCGGCCAGGCCUUGCAGCUCAGGAAAUUUGUGAUGGAAAUAACCCUGGGCACGAACUGGCCAGCUCAGCAUUGCCAGACAAAGGGGGUCAGUGUGGGGAGGCAGCGAAUUCCUCCUCUCUCCCACAGAGAGGGGGAUGUGACAGGGGGCGGCUCUGGGAACCCCAGGCCUGAGCCCUUUGGGAUCUGCCUGGGGCCUCGUGGUCUGGGGACUCUGGGGAUACCUGGGACCAGUCAUGUAGAAUCCGGGACCUGAGCCAGGUGAAGCCCUCUAAAAUCAUGCACUGACACAAGAGAUGGCCCCAGGAGUUCCCGCUGUGGCUCAGUGGGUUAAGGACCCAACAUUUUCUCCAAGAGGAGGUGGGUUCAGUCUCUGGCCUCACUCCUUGAGGAUCCAGUGUUGCCGUGGCUGUGGCGUAGGCCACAGCUGCUGCUCUGAUUCAGCCCCUGGCCUGGGAACUUCCAUAUGCUGCAGGUGCUGCCCUAAAAAGGAAAAAAAAAAAGAAAGCAAUGGUGCCAAAGUGAACUGGAACACUGGGGCUCUUUGCUUCGGUGACAUCUGCGACAUAAGAGCCAUCACCCCGCUUGGGUGGGGUCUUGCACCUUCUGCUCUUUGCAAGGGCCUCCUCCUUACCAUACCUCGUGAACAUCCAUCUCUUUUGUUAAACUUUAGGUUUUAGAAAGGAGAGGACUGUUGGUCUUGCACUCUCCUCCCCUCGGCAUGCUCCCCAAUACCUGGUACCCCGGAAGGACCUCGUCAUGAGCAGGUCACUGGACUCAAUUGAUUAGAAGUCUUCCCGUGCAGUUGUAUGUCCUUCAGUAAUGAAAACAGGAGUUCACUUGUUUAUGACGGUGGUUGCUUCAGCACUUGAAAGAACAUUUUCAGGCACCCACGAUGCUAAAAGGUGUAGGAGAAAAGCCAUCUACAGCAAAACAUUUCAGCCCAGAGAACUUGCAAUACCAAGUGUGAACCCUAAUAAAAACCUGUGGGUGUGAGUGAAUAGUAAUGCAUUCAUCUUUGCUCAUCACUUGUAACAAAUACCCCACACCAGUGCAAGUUCCUGAUGGAGAGCCGAUUGGGUGGCGGGGGAAGAGGAAGAGAGCCUGUGUGGGAACUCACUAUACUCGCUACUCUGUUUUUCUCCAAACCCGAAAGUGCUAUAAAGUCUUAGUAAGUGUAAACACACGAGAAAUCUCAUUUUCCUUAUUUUAGAAGACGUGUACCUACUUUGCAGAAUUGCCAUCAAGAGCACACACACAGUUAAGUAGCGUAUAUGAAGCUGGCUACAGAGAGGGGGUAUAAUCUUUGCGGGGGUGGGGUGGGUAGGGGCGUGCCCAUGGCACGCAAAUUCCCACACCAGGGAUUGAACCCAAACCACAGCAGUGACAACGCUGAAUCCUUCACCACUAGGCCACCAGGGACCUCUCAUAGAUUAAUUUUUAUAUGCAGAAGUUCAUGUAAGAAAUGAGCAAGAUGAAAUUGAUAGCAAAAUGACAUAAGCAUUAACGCUCCAAAUCUUUUUUUUUUUUGGUAAUUAAAAAUUCUUUAAUUUUUUGCUUUUGGGGGCUGCACUUGUGGCAUAUGGAAGUUCCCGGGCUAGGGGUCUAAUCAGAGCUGCAGCUGCCAGCGUAUGCCACAGCCACGCCAGAUCCAAGCCACGUCUGCGACCUAUACCACAGCUCACGGCAGCACCAGAUCCUUAACCCACUGAGUGAGGCUGGGUACCAAAUCUGUAUCCUCAUGGAUGUUAGUUGGGUUCGUUACUGCUGAGCUACAAGAGGAGCUCCAAAUGCUCCAAAUCUUCUAUCAUCUCCGCCACUCUUGAUAGCGGAAACUCCACUUUUUGCAUAAUUUCAAGAUCUCCCUGGCACAGCCUCUCAUACGGUUUUUAUCCAGCUACUUCAAUAGUUGAAACUGGAAGGCAGUACUCUGGCCAGCACCCUGGUCUGUGUUUUGAUUCUUAUUCCAUCCUUCUGCCUUUGGGGGAAAAUCCAGGAAUUUUGUCUGACAGCGUGAUAUGACGACUAGGACACUAGCAGUGCAAGAAUGUUCCAUCAAGGAGAAAGUGGUCCCCAGCAGGGUACUGGUCUCUGCGGGGCUGUUUGCAGAACUGAGAGACGCAGAGUCAGUAGUGAGUCGAAUGCAGAGAAGAGCAGCAUCUGAGCGGUGGUGAAGCCAGUGAGAAAGUCACACAGCAGC
rnacentral:lncRNA from 1 species